rnacentral:rRNA from 1 species
AUUGAACGCUGGCGGCAGGCUUAACACAUGCAAGUCGAGCGGAGAUGAGGUGCUUGCACCUUAUCUUAGCGGCGGACGGGUGAGUAAUGCUUAGGAAUCUGCCUAUUAGUGGGGGACAACAUUCCGAAAGGAAUGCUAAUACCGCAUACGCCCUACGGGGAAAGCAGGGGAUCUUCGGACCUUGCGCUAAUAGAUGAGCCUAAGUCGGAUUAGCUAGUUGGAGGGGUAAAGGCCUACCAAGGCGACGAUCUGUAGCGGGUCUGAGAGGAUGAUCCGCCACACUGGGACUGAGACACGGCCCAGACUCCUACGGGAGGCAGCAGUGGGGAAUAUUGGACAAUGGGCGGAAGCCUGAUCCAGCCAUGCCGCGUGUGUGAAGAAGGCCUUUUGGUUGUAAAGCACUUUAAGCGAGGAGGAGGCUACCUGGAUUAAUACUCUAGGAUAGUGGACGUUACUCGCAGAAUAAGCACCGGCUAACUCUGUGCCAGCCGCCGCCGUAAUAC